rnacentral:rRNA from 1 species
GACGAACGCUGGCGGCGUGCCUAAUACAUGCAAGUCGAGCGAAGAUUUUCUGCUUCUUGCACUUGAACGACUGAGCGGCGAACGAGUGAGUCACACGUAAAGAACCUUUCUCAUAGGCUGGGACUACUGUUGGAAACGAUAGCUCAUACCAGAUAACAGUAUUUCUCGCAUGGGAGAGGUUUAAAAGUUGGUUAUGCUAACACUAUGAGAUGUCUUUGCGGUGCAUUAGCUAGUUGGUGGGGUAAAGGCCCACCAAGGGGACGAUGGAUAUCCGACCGGAGUGGCGGGUCGGCGACCUGGGAGCUGAGCCGCGGCCCAGACUCCUAAGGGAGGCAGCAGUAGGCAAUCGGACGCAAUGGGCGGGAGCCUGACGGAACAAGGCGGCGUGAGUGAAGGAAGAGUUCGGUUCGUAAAGCUCUGUUGUUAGGGAAGAAUGGAUAUGUAGUAAGACGACGUGUGAGUGACGGUACCUAAUCAGAAAGCCACGGCUAACUACGUG